AGUUGUUGUUGUUUUUUUUUUUUCCUCCUAGUAUUAGCUUUUUGAUAACCAUCUUGAAUGGAAUCCUCACUACCAUUGAUGGAAUACUGUCCAUAGUCUUCAAAUACUUUGUUGUUGCUAACACCUUUGCGCCUCUCUAUUAGUGUUGCAGAUUUUCUGCAGAACCGCACUUUGUCAAGGCACUUUUGACUUCACCUUUUUCACUUUCUUAGAAAAUCUUGUCUAUGCUACUCUUCUCCUUGUUGAGUUUCAGUUUAGGACUCAUCUUCUCAACAGACCUGUUGUAAGAUUCUUUGUGCUCUUGAUUUGAUUUCAAAUAACCCUCUCAAUGGGUUCCUUCUACAAACAUGCAAAAUCACUGUAAACAGAGAGUUUCAUUAAAACGGUGCCUUUAUGAUUGAGUUAUACUCUGAUAUCAGUUGGUUGAAAAAUUUAAGCUCUAUUGCUCUAAUAUCACUUUAUAUAAUAUACAAACAGUUUUUAUUUAUUUAUUUAUUU
rnacentral:misc_RNA from 1 species